UACGGAGGAUCCAAGCGUUAUCCGGAUUUAUUGGGUUUAAAGGGUGCGUAGGUGGUUUAUUAAGUCAGGGGUGAAAGACGGCAGCUUAACUGUCGCAGUGCCUUUGAUACUGAUGAACUUGAAUGUACUAGAAGUAGGCGGAAUGUGACAAGUAGCGGUGAAAUGCAUAGAUAUGUCACAGAACACCGAUUGCGAAGGCAGCUUACUAUGGUAUUAUUGACGCUGAGGCACGAAAGCGUGGGGAUCAAACAGG
rnacentral:rRNA from 1 species